rnacentral:rRNA from 1 species
ACUCCUACGGGAGGCAGCAGUGGGGAAUAUUGGACAAUGGGCGCAAGCCUGAUCCAGCCAUGCCGCGUGAGUGAUGAAGGCCCUAGGGUUGUAAAGCUCUUUUGUGCGGGAAGAUAAUGACGGUACCGCAAGAAUAAGCCCCGGCUAACUUCGUGCCAGCAGCCGCGGUAAUACGAAGGGGCUAGCGUUGCUCGGAAUCACUGGGCGUAAAGGGUGCGUAGGCGGGUCUUUAAGUCAGGGGUGAAAUCCUGGAGCUCAACUCCAGAACUGCCUUUGAUACUGAAGAUCUUGAGUUCGGGAGAGGUGAGUGGAACUGCGAGUGUAGAGGUGAAAUUCGUAGAUAUUCGCAAGAACACCAGUGGCGAAGGCGGCUCACUGGCCCGAUACUGACGCUGAGGCACGAAAGCGUGGGGAGCAAACAGGAUUAGAUACCCUGGUAGGAUAGCG